CUUCCUCAGAGCCUGUUGUGCUCAUUGCAUCCCUGCAGUUUGACGGACCCUUCUCUUGCAAACAAGUUUACUCUCCUUGCUUGAGUCUGCACUCUCCCUGGCAGUUUAAUGGACCCUUUUCUGUGAGUUACUAACACAAAUUUAGAAGAAGAAGAGGCCAAAAAAAUGGGGUCCAGAAGAAAAGUGCUGCUUGCUGUAAUCAUUUUCACAGCUGUCUGCUACAAAGUGACUGCACAGGAUGCAAGAAUACUGGAUGCUCUAAAUCCCACAGAUGUUGUAGAUGACCAGUACAAUGGAUGCCGUAAAGAGGCCGUGAAGAAGUUCAUCCAGUCAGACCUGUUAAAACAAGAACUAAAUCACAGUGAAGGAUUUCAGAAAGCGUGGAACAGAAGUAACAAGUGUUUGAAGCAGAUCCCUGGAGGGCGUAAAGAGCAUACUUCUGCACUUUCAAUCUAUGCUCAUGGGGAUUAUGAUUUCUUACAAACACUGAACAAAGCAAUAGAGACGAUGGGUGGAAAUGUUAGCAUCUAUGAAAACCACUUCCACUUCAAGUCUCUUCAUUUCCUGCUGAUGGAUUCCAUGAAGCUGCUGAAGCCGAAGGAGUGCAAGACUUUCUAUGUUUUUCAAGAUGGUCAAAGCCAACCACGGUCAAAGAAAGGCUCCACAGUGAGAUUUACAAGUUUCACCUCAGCUUAUUCAAACUUUGAAGAGAUAAAGAGAUCUGAAGAUCUCGCUGACAACAUCGUUUUAAAUCUCACUUCUUGCUUCUUUGUCAACCUGAAAGACUAUGUGUGCGAUCAAACCCAGGAUACAAUACUUUUAUCUCCAGCAGAAGUUUUCACUGUGGAGGAAACAGAAACAAAAACUACAGAUGAUGAUGAGGAAUAUGUUGAGAUUGUUUUGAAACAGUCAGGACUGAAAAGCUUCCACAACUGUUACAUCUUUUCACGAGACUCAGGAGAGCAGGAGACUGUCACAGCUGUCACAGAGCGAGACAGGUCUCCUCCAGCUGUUGUCUCCACCCAGUGGUUUGUGUCAGUGCUUGUGGCCUUAUCUUUUUUUUUUUAGCAGUUUAGUAAAAACGUUUAUCAUUCAGAGUUUUCUGAGUAUUAUCGUCUACAGUACUGCUUUGUCGAUCCCAUAAACUCAGGAGAUUGUGGGAUCUACCAAAUAUAGUUUUAUGCUUCUGUCACACGUCAUGAAUUAUAGACUGAAUUCUUAUUUUCUUUAUGCAUGUCAGAAAGGUAUACAGUGUACUUCUUUAUUUCAUGUUAAGUAUUGUGUGACUUUAAAGGAUGAUAAGAAAUGAGAGAGGGGAACGACUUACAGCAAACUGCUGCAAGACUUGCAGUGUUCUGGAGUUUAUGGUGGGCAACUUUAACUCCCCACAGCAGGAGUAUUUCCAGAAACAUUCAAUGGGGUGGCACGAGAGGACCAAGGACAAGGCAAAGAGGCAAAUAUUAUAAAUCAUUGUACAAUUUAUAUUUUGUAGAGAGGGUUCCCUCUGUUAUUGUCUCUAACUUCACUUCAAUACACUCGUAUCAUGUGUUUGAGUUCCUUUGCCAAUAAAUUUAAAUAAAGAAUGAAUUUGACUAUUAUUAUACUUUCAGAACUUCCUCAGAUAUCACGUUAAUGCUACGACCUCUUUUUGCGAGGGGGAUCAAAUAUCGCGACAGCUCUCCUCCGAAGCUGAAGGUGGCGGUAAUACCCAAGCGCCUUUCGUCAAACGAAGAAGGAAAAAGGGAGGAAGAAAGAGGCGGAGGUCAACUAAAUAUUGAUAACGCAGAGACGAUAAGAUAAAGCUGUAACUAGAAACUUUUGCCUGGCAAUGAGGCUGUAAACGCUUCUGUGGACCUCAGAGAAGAUGCAGGUCACCUGGAUAAAACACAAUGCUCGUAUACUGUGAUACUUCUCGUGCCGUGGGCAACAAGCCAUCUAAUUUGUAACUUUUCCAACUCAGGAAGCCAAACCUCGUGUGACACCGUAAACUGUGUUUGCUUGUCUGAAGGA